UGAAACUUGGAAGCCAAAAGAGGAGGAGGCUGAGAACAUACUGAGGUUCACAGUGGCCGGAAAAAGGUCAUGCUCAAACUGGAAGUGGGGAAGAUCUGCCUAGAUUCAAGGAAAAAUAAAUUUGCUAAGAAGAGUGAAUAUGUGAAGAGUGAUAAAGGUGAUCAGGUUUCUGGAGCAGCUUCCAUGUGAUGAAGGAAAUUUGACACCCUUCAGCCUGGAGUAAAAUCAACUGACGGAGAAUUUGAUAGAAAUCUACAGGAAUGGGAAUGGCAUUAAAAAAAUAAUGCACUUUAUAAAAAGAAGAAGAAAGAGCAACAAAUAUGAGUCUUUGAAAGCUUGCAAGAAAUAAAACUUCCAUGGCUAUUCUUAAGGGAAAACUGACAAUGUUUUUGGGCCAAAGUCUGGAAAAAAUGAAGUUAAUUGAAAGCAUUUGUUCAUCCUUCAUGCCAGACUUUCAAACUCUGCAAUGUGACUGACUGAUGCGGUAAGUGCAGUUAAUUUUAAUUCUGAUUUUUAGGACUGGAUUUGUCAAUCAAUAUUG